rnacentral:misc_RNA from 1 species
GAUGAAGAACGUAGCGAAAUGCGAUAAGUAAUGUGAAUUGCAGAAUUCAGUGAAUCAUCGAAUCUUUGAACGCACAUUGCGCCCCCUGGUAUUCCGGGGGGUAUGCCUGCUCGAGCGUCAUUUCACCACUCAAGCCUCGCUUGGUAUUGGGCAACGCGGUCCGCCGCGUGCCUCAAAUCGACCGGCUGGGUCUUCUGUCCCCUAAGCGUUGUGGAAACUAUUCGCUAAAGGGUGCUCGGGAGGCUACGCCGUAAAACAAACCCAUUUCUAAGGUUGACCUCGGAUCAGGUAGGGAUACCCGCUGAACUUAAGCAUAUCAAUAAGCGGAGGA